rnacentral:rRNA from 1 species
GACGAACGCUGGCGGCGUGCCUAACACAUGCAAGUCAACUUGACUGAAGGAGCAAUCUGACAGUAGAGUGGCGCAAGGGUGCGUAACGCGUAAGUAACUUGCCCCAAGGUAAGGAAUAACGUCGAGAAAUCGGCGCUAAUACCUCAUAAUGCAGCGGAUCCGCAUGGAUAUGUUGUUAAAGGUUUACCGCCUUGGGAUAGGCUUGCGUCUGAUUAGCUAGUUGGUGUGGUAACGGCACACCAAGGCUACGAUCAGUAACUGGUCUGAGAGGAUGAUCAGUCACACUGGAACUGAGACACGGUCCAGACUCCUACGGGAGGCAGCAGUGAGGAUAUUGGGCAAUGCUCGAAAGAGUGACCCAGCAACGCCGCGUGGAGGAUGAAGGUAUUCUAUAUCGUAAACUCCUGUGAGAGCAGACGAAGACUAGAUUAUAAUCUGGAUGACUGUAUAGCU